UGAUACGUAGGGUGCGAGCGUUGUCCGGAAUUAUUGGGCGUAAAGAGCUUGUAGGCGGUCUGUUGCGUCGGAAGUGAAAACUCAGGGCUUAACCCUGAGCCUGCUUUCGAUACGGGCAGACUUGAGGGAUGUAGGGGAGAACGGAAUUCCUGGUGGAGCGGUGGAAUGCGCAGAUAUCAGGAGGAACACCAGUGGCGAAGGCGGUUCUCUGGACAUUUCCUGACGCUGAGAAGCGAAAGCGUGGGGAGCAAACAGG
rnacentral:rRNA from 1 species